AUCAAAACCAAAUACAUGAAUUUGGGAUAGAUAAGUACCGUGACACGUCUUAUAGUAAUGUGAAUUGUUAAAUGUGUCAAAUGUUACUUAUCUGUUAAAACUUAUAAGUGAUCUUUAUCUAUAGACAAGAUGGGAUUCAUUUACGCAGUUCUUUUUGCUGGAUUGUAUAUAACAGGUAAAAAUGAUACGAUACAUUAUCUAAAUACAAAUCACACAUUAUCUCAGCUAUGUAAUUUUAUCCAUGCAAUCAUGUCCAACUCUAUCAAGCACGCAAAAACAAAUGUUUUAAACAGUAUUUGGGUCAUGAAACAUAUUUCAGAGAACGUUUGAAUACUUUUGGCAGGUUGAACAUUUAUAUCUAUGGUACCUUUAAACUUGCUCAAGUAUUAGUGAAUUAAAGUCCUUAAUAUAGAUUCAUAAACAUUUGUAUAGAAUUUACAUACAAUUGAAUAAAAACUAAGUCAGAAUUAUCUACAACGAUCCAUUUCUCUUCAUCCAGUUAAUUAGGCUACUAGUAUAUAUGUUUCUUCAACUUGAUAUGUUACUACCAUAUAGAGAUAGGAUUAUACAACAAAAAUGAUGCCAGUGACCUUAUUUUAUAUCAAGCAAAUGGAAAACAAAUAUUGUAUAAAACUAAAUUCAGUAAAAAAUCUCCCAUUGACUUUAAUGCUUAUCUGUGUCUUGAAUAAAUUUAUACCUGAUUUACCUUUAAAAAUUAGACGCUUUCAAAUAUUAUUCACAAAAGUACAAAUGUAGCCCUGUAAUAUUUUGCAACAAUAAAAACAUAGGGUCAUGCGGCAUUUUUAGGCAUUUACAUGGGCUUGUUUACAAACACUAUAGAUUAUCACUCAAUUCCUUUACCAACAUUACUUUUCAAUCCUGUAGUAAUACAAAUUAGUACAUUCAUCAUUCAUUUUCCUAUUUUUAAAACUCUUGUUUUGAUCCAUCUAUCAAAAUAUAUUUAUUACAAACAUUAUUUACCAAUUAGAAGGUUUCGACUACAUAAGACUCAUCAGCAUGAUAAUGAUAAUCUUGACUUGGUCAUGGAAAACCAUCCCUUUCAUUGGUCAUGGUUUACCAUGUUAUCCCUGACUGAUCAGUGUCGCUCAGAUCAAAAUAGUUAUAAAGCCAAACAAGUACAAAGUUGACGAGCGUUGAGGACAAGAACCCAGACACAUUAUUUAUGAAAGUGCUUCACAUUUUUUCAUUUCUUGGCCUUAUAUGCUAUCUUCACGACAUGGGAUUUGCAAAUUGUCGAAGGACGAAAAAGUAAAACCACAAAAAUACUGAACUCAGAGGAAAAUCCAAUCGGAAAGUCCAUAUCACAUGGCAAAAUCAAAUGACAAAACACAUCAAAAACGAAUGGACAAGAACUAUCAUAUUCCUGACUUGGUACAUGCAUUAUAAAAUGUAGAAAAUGGUAGAUUAAACCUGGUUUUAUAGCGCUAACCCUCUCACUUGAUGACAGUCUAGGCAAAUUCCGUUAUAUUUACAAUGAUGCUUAAACUAAACUGCUAAACAGACAUAAAUGAAUAAAAUAGUCAAAAUGUUGGUACAGCAGUCAUCAUCGUGUAACAAUUUUAAAAGGAACAAUUUAACAGAACACAAACACAUUUAAUAUCUACAAACACAUUCAUUGAUUCGCGUGUCUGACGUCAUAAAAUUUUAUACGUCACAUAUAUUUGUCGUUCAGUGUAUACAUGGUAUAAACAAACAAUUUUUAAAUUUCACAUGGGCAAUGUUAGCAUACAGAAAGUAUGUAAGAAUUAAUUUGAGAAAUAGACCGAGAUUUAAAACAGUGACAAAUUGUUGUUCACAUCUUUGUUCAGCUGACAGUUGUAGUAUUGGCAUUUAUACCACUUAUCUUUAUUUUAAUAUAGAGUUAUCUCCCGUAAUAUAUAAAAUGCCUCAAAAUGUUAUUAAUUCAGAAUAUAAGGAAAGUUAUAUUACAUAAUUGAUUAUGUAUACGUCCAUUUAUUUGACACUUAAGUUAGUUCUAUUAUUUUGAAAUAUCAUAUAAGUUGUCCUGCUCACCUAUGAUGAUAAACUAUUUUUGAAAAUAGGUAACAUCUAUUAUAGUGUACCAGUAAUCAAAGAUGAAUACACCAUAUUCUUCUGUGUUUAUUUCAAUAUGUUAUUGACGUCAAAUAUACAUCACAAAUUAUCAUCAUUUUUGUUCAUCAUUAGGAUAUAAAUAUUUUUUGUAAUGACUACAGGAAUUUAAGUAUUUUUGUAAUUUAAGGGCUCAGAAACUCUUCAAACUGAUUCAAACUCCAUCAUGCAAAGAUGAAUUAAAGUUAAAUUGGCUGGUCCUUUAUGUUCCUUUGGUCACAAAUCCCUGAGGUAUUCAACUAUUUAUACAUCGUUGGCAUAUGUCUGGUUAUUCAACGAUGUUUAAUUUCGAUACAUUAAAAAUUUGUCCAAUAUUAACAGACCUCAGACACAAAGACUUUUUUCCACAAGAUGCUAUAACAAAUUAUACUUGGUAAAAAAAUAUAAAAUAUUCUGAACUACCCAUUUUCAGUAUUUUCAAAAUCUAUAAUUCUAUAAAGUUAAUUGAAGCAAUAUAAAAACUCAUGAUCUGCUGUAUUUUUUUUUACAUAAAAAAAAAUAAAAUAUAUAAAAAAAAUGAUAUCUUCCUAAUCAGCAUCAGUUAGUUUUCUAAAUUGAUUUGUUUUAUUAUCAUAGUUUUUCAUAACCAACUAUACGGUAUGCGGUUUUCUUAUGGUUGAAUGUCAUACUGUUGCUUAUCAUUGCUCAUUACAUCAACUUCAUUAUAAAUUUGGUGGAUAGUUGAGACUCAUUGGCAAUCAUACCACUUUUCUUUAUUUUUAUAUAAUGUUCAGCGCGAUUUGAGACCUAGGUAAUAAAUGUUUACAUGUAUAGCAAUUUGUUAUAUAUUUACAGUAACAGAAGGAUGCAUUGAUGGCUGGAUUCAACAUAAUGACAUGUGUUAUUUUUUGAGCCACGAUAAAGCGACAUGGUAUGAGGCAUUGGUGAGUUAUUACUCAGUGGAAAACUAAUUAUUGUGAAAGAUAACAAGAAUAAGUUUAAAACGGUCUGUUGAAUUAUUUUAGGGAUACAAAGCCCUAAAAAAAGUCACGUUUAAUUUACAUUUCAAUGUUUUUGUCCGGUUUGUUUUGAAUGGUAUAUCUUGUUUCAAACGAUUUAUGCAUGUCUAGCUAAUUUACAUGCACCGUUCUAAUUAUAAAAAUAUUAUUUUUUUUUGUCUCGUCAAUUUGUAAUAAUAAAAAGAAAGCAUGCAUGUUUAUUCCCAGUAGCUACAACUAUUUAACGUGCUACACUGACCUGUAAAAUUAAUGUCCAUAUGUUAUAUCAGUUACCAAAAAAUCUAUAAUAUUGACUCCACCAAUUAAAACUGUCCGCCACGAAAUAGCCUAAAUGCGGUGCUAAAAAGUGGCGUUAAAACACCAAAAAUCAAAUCAAAUUAUAAAAAUUAUAGUGUAAUGUGUAAUUCCGACCUAUACGCAUUGUUGAGUAGAAAAACAAUACGCAUAGUUGAGUAGAAAAACAAUAUAUUCACUGAAAUAUAAAUGUGUUUUUUUUUUUAUAUCGCAACGAAGGCUGUAUGCUCGUCUGUGUAUGGGACAUUGGCAGAACCAUCGUCGGCGGACGUGCAAAAUUUCUUAGUAAGUCAAAUUCCAAGGAAUACGUCAUGUAAGUACUCUCUUUUUAUUUCAGUCAAUAUUAUGUCUACUUAUUAUAAUAAGGGACUUCCUAGAGUAUCGUUUAAGCGGUUAUAGUUUUCCUAUUUUUAAAAGUGGGCAUCCCACUGAACCAAAUAAUUAUAGAGGCAUUACCAUUUCUAGUUGCCCGUCAAAGCUUUUUAAAUUCCAGAUUUGAAAAGUUUUUACAACUUAAUUGUAUCAUUUCAGAUGAACCAAUUGGAUUUAGACCAGGUUGUAGAACAUCAGAUCAUAUUUUUAAAUUAAAGAUUAUUCUUGAUAAAUAUUUAAAUAAAUCAAAAAUGAUAUAUGCCUGUUUUAUUGAUCUUAGAAAGACAUUUGAUUCUGUCCUACACCCUGCACUCUUAUUCAAAUUAAUAAAAGGAUGGGUGGGUGGAAAGUUUUUAUCCUUACUGAAAUCCAUGUAUAGCAAUAUAGAACUUAGAGUUAAAUUAGAUAAUUCUUCACUCUCAGAGGUUUUUUUCAUCUAGUGUUGGUGUGUUCCAGGGGGACAAUCUUAGUCCAAGUCUUUUUAAUGUAUUUAUUAAUGACAUAACUAAGUUAUUUGACACUUCAUGUUGUCCUGUAUCACUUGUAUGCAGAUUUAUUAUUGUUUAUUGUUUAUUGUAUGCAGAUGAUUUACUUCUUGUAUCAGAAUCAGCUGAAGGGUUACAGAAUUGUAUUAACAAGGUUUAUAACUAUUGUGAAAAUUGGGGGCUUGAAAUAAAUUAUGAUAAAUCUAAAGUGAUGAUAUUUAACAAAAGUGGACGAAUGAUAUCUAGAAAAUUUUAUAUAAACGACAAGAGUAUUGAGUCUGUUUAUCAAUAUAAAUAUUUGGGUGUUCUAUUUAGUUUGAAUGGGAGUUUCAAACGUGCCAUCAAUGACCUAAAUUCUAGAGGUCAGAAGGCAUUUUUUAAAUUGACUAAUAUAUUUAAAAAUACUCCUUGUGACAUUCAAAAUUUUACAUUUAUAUGAUCAUACUGUAAAACCAGUUGUACUGUAUGCUUCUGAAAUUUUAAGCAUGUUUGACACCAGAAAAUGUAAUAAAUAUAACAGUGAAAAUAUAUUUGACCAGAUUUUUAAUACUGUACCAAUUGAAAAGAUCAAUCUUAAUAUGUGCAGAUAUUUGCUGAAAGUAAAUAGAAAAAACAUGUAAACUGGCACUGUAUGUUGAGCUAGGCCGUUUUCCAUUAUAUAUUGAUAUCAUUAUGUCAAUGGUUAGAUUACAUAACGAUAAACCUAAAGAUGCUUUACUGUCAGAAGCAUUAGCUGAAAAUAUUACUAUGAUAAAUAAUAACCAACAAUGUUGGCUUAGUUGUAUUAAAUGUAUUUUGAAUGAAUGUGGAUUGUCACACUUUUAUAAGAAUCAUUUUUUAGCUAGUAGGCACAUGUUAAAACACGAAUUUGCAUCAAUUUUUUUUAUUUAAUUCACCUGUGCACUUUAUUGUUGGACCUCGUGUUAUCAUAAAUGAUAAGUUUUAUUGAGUAAUACAAUUACUUAAUUGAAUAACACGUGAUGCACAGUUAGCCAAUCGGAAUAACGAAUUAUAAUGAAACAUACAUCUAAUGUAAUUAUUACAGGAUAGUAACAUGUGGUAACAGCUGACCUUUCAAUAUGUAGUUUUCAUGUUUUCGAAUCGUCUGCACGUGUUUGUCCUGAAAAUUCAUGACAUACGUGACAUAUCAGUCAGUGAACGUUAAACAAACAAUUAUCAAUCAAUUGCUGUAUUUAUAUUUCAGUUCCACGGCAACAUUUCCAAUAUUGGAUCGGAAUAUCUGAUGUGUUUAAGGAAUCACGUUGGCUGUUCAUUUCAACUCAACAAAGUGUGUCCACAACAUUCUGGUACCCCGGAGAGCCAAAUAACAAGAUUCCAUCCAGUUUAGAUAACACAGACGAAGAUUGUGUUCUGUUCAACUGGGAUGGCAAAGGAUCAUGGAACGACUACUCGUGUACAUCACGUUACUUGUUUACCUGUCAGAAAGAGUAAGAUGUUGUCUAUAAAAUGGAAUAAAGGCGACUGUCAUACAAGUGAUAGGUUUAGCUAGAUAUAAAACCAGGUUAAAUCCACCAUAAAAAAUGCCUGUACAAUGUCCGGAAUAUGACAAUUGUUGCCCAUUCGUUUGAUAUGUUUCAGCUUUUGAUUUUGCCAUUUUUUUUAGAGACUUUUCGUUUUGAAUUUUCCUCGGAGUAUAGUAUUUUUGUGAUUUUACUUUUGAUGAAACGAUUUUUGUUCUCAUUCGAAAGGCAGAAACAAAAGAGGCAAUAAUCAAGUUUUUGAAUUAGCAAAAUUAAGUUCCUAAAUGAUGAGAAUGUUUCAAUAUAGAUAAUUUAACAUUAAAAUAAUAUGAAAAAAAAUUACUAUAUGCAGAAUUAAAAAUGUCACUUGACGUAUCUUCUUAGGAGUUACAUACUAUUCCAUACUCUCAAAUAGUUUUUAAUUAUAUUUCAGGGAUGCAGAUGUAAAUGUGAUUGGUUAAAAGCUAAGAAGAGAUGAAAAAUAAAGUAUAUUCUUAAAC
rnacentral:lncRNA from 1 species